GUGCCAGCAGCCGCGGUAAUACGGGGGGUGCGAGCGUUGUCCGGAUUCACUGGGCGUAAAGGGCGCGUAGGCGGCCAGAUCAGUCGAACCUUUAAGAGCGGGGCUCACCCCCGUGGUGGGUUCGGGACGGUCUGGCUGGGGCGCGGCAGAGGGGGACGGAAUGCCGGGUGUAGUGGUGAAAUGCGUAGAGAUCCGGCGGAACACCGGUGGUGAAGACGGUCCCCUGGGCCGAGGCCGACGCUGAGGCGCGAGAGCGCGGGGAGCGAACCGGAUUGGAUACCCGAGUAGUCC
rnacentral:rRNA from 1 species